rnacentral:rRNA from 1 species
UACAGAGGGGGCGAAGCGUUGUUCGGAAUUACUGGGCGUAAAGGGCGCGUAGGCGCCUUCUAAGUCGAACGUGAAAUCCCCGGGCUCAACCCGGGAACUGCGUCCGAUACUGGAAGGCUUGAAUCCGGGAGAGGGAUGCGGAAUUCCAGGUGUAGCGGUGAAAUGCGUAGAUAUCUGGAGGAACACCGGUGGCGAAGGCGGCAUCCUGGACCGGCAUUGACGCUGAGGCGCGAAAGCGUGGGGAGCAAACAGG